GAGCAUUACCGAUCCCACGAGAUGAUCUGGUUUGGUCCUACCGACGACGAUGGCCCGGAAUCCGAUUACGCCUGUGAGAUGUGUGGCGAGGCAUAUCCCUGCGGGGCGCGGUGCGUGGCCGAUGACGCCGAACGCCUCCUCGACGCCCUCGACGCGGCGACGCUAGAACGGACUGGCGAGUCGGUCUGCAUGUCGGCGCGGGACUACACCGCCAUGCGGGACCGCCUCGACGCGGCGACGGGGGAACGGGAUGCGCUGGCAGCGGCCAUUGACGAACUGACAGGCGAAUGGAUGCGGAUGGGUGUUGACGAAGU
rnacentral:misc_RNA from 1 species